GGAAAGUUCUGUGGCUCAACGGUACAGCAUCUGCUCAGCAUGCGGAAGGUCCUAGGUUCAAUUCCCAGCAUUUCCA
rnacentral:tRNA from 1 species